CACCUAAUGUCUGACGCGAAACGUUAUAAAUUCUCGCAACGCUUAACGCGCGAUAAGUCCGCCCCGGGAAGAAGUAAUGUCGGGUAACGAACGAUAAAGACGAUCCCAGUAAGCGCAACACUUGCACAAUUUAAACUGUUCUUCGGAUUUUGAUUCCGGUUGGCCAAGAAGAACCCAAGAACCCAAUUCGCAUUGUCUUCCAAAAACAAACAGCAGAAAACGCGCACUUAUCCGCCUCGCAGCCGCUCGGACUAUUCUAAAGCCCGUGUCAGCCGAUUUCGCAAUCUGAAAUUGAAAGCGGCUAAACAAAUAAAUGCAUCCAUCAUUAGCGUCGCGCCGUGCGUGCGUGCGCACGUGGGCGCGCUUCUCCUACCUACGAUGAAUAGUGUGUGUAACUACGACUGUGUGCGUGUGCGUGUGCGUGCCCGAAGCAGAGGAAGCGUGCGUGCGGAGUGCCGUGGGACGAACGAAGCCAGUGGUGGAGUAGGUAGACGAUUGAAGAGAAAAGGAGAGGAGUUCUGGCAGACAAACAGAGAAUAGAACAGAGAUGAUUCAGCGCCUCCGCAUUGUCCACGGUUCUCACGGAACUUCCAUUUACGUAUUUCUCAACACGAAGACGUGUCACGAGGAGCAGCGAAUAACCCACGUUUACCGAAAGCCCACGACGACGCGUCGUUCGUGCAGCGACAUUUCAUGCUCACGCAACCGCAAUUAAAACAGACCAAGCAGAAGAAACGAGAAAUGAAAAAAAGAACGGUGAACUUUCAUAAGUGGUUCGUGGGAGAGCUUCAUAAACGAGCAGCACUUCAUUAGCUCGGUACCAGGAGACGAUCGUUUGACUCUUCCAUGGCUCGUCACAUCUUGUCGUUUUCGUUGACGUCGUUCGAGAGAAAUGGUAGAGCCGUUCUCGUCGUGCGUGGAAUGGGAAAUCGCCUUUGAGGUCACCACGACGGAGGAAGUUCGUCACGUGGUUCGACGCGGUUGCUUCGCCUUAACCUCGUAAAGCAUUUAAAUGGAAAGUUAAGGUAAACGCGCCAAAAUUAAGGUCGCAGUCGUGCGU